CCCAAAUGAAAACAAAUACUUUGAUGGGUCCGGUGCACCGCGGUGGUACAGGUGAGUCUAGGACGCAAAGCAAAGCCGACGCGGAAACUUUUGUGAGCCAAACAGCAGCAGCGGAACGCCUUCGAAGGAGGGUGGUGCGGGUGCGGGACAAAGCCGAGUCAAGGGUCGAGUGCUCGAAAAGGACAAGACCAGCUUCCUGCAGAAACUACAGCUGUUCCAGGACCGGAAUGGGUAAGAAGGAUUGGAGCUAGGAAUGUGGAUCCGCACCGGUUGUAUUCGGUGCGCGUGGCCCGGGCUUAGUGGUAAAGGUCAAUUCUCGCGAGGACUGGGGCGAGAUUAUCGAGGAGAUGGCGCUGCCGAAGCGUUGCAUGAACAACGAGGUUGCAUUGAAGAAGAUUAACGUUAGGUUUUGGACAAGUACGAGAAAGUUAAUAUUUACAGUGAGGAGAAAGAUCCGACUAAGAGGAGGACGACGAGAAGCGAAAUAAUCGGAGGUGGUCAGCGCAGAUGUUGCACUUGGUGCCGGCGUAUUACAACAACGCAACUUUCCACCCACAAACGACUAA